CAAUAGCGUAUAUUAAAGCUGUUGCGGUUAAAAAGCUCGUAGUUGGAUUUCCGUCAAGGACAACUGGUCCGCCCUCCGGGUGAGCACAUAGUUUGGUCUUGGCAUCUUGCUGGAAACUGUUGCUGCGCUUGGUUGUGUGGUGCAGCUUUCAGCACUUUCACUUUGAGGAAAUUGGAGUGUUUCAAGCAGGCACAUGCCUUUGGACACAGUAGCAUGGAAUAAUUAGAUUGGGCUUUUGCUCCAACUUGUUGGUUCCUGGAGCUGAGGUGAGAAUCAAUGGGGAUUGUUGGGGGCAUCCGAAUUUAGCCGUCAGAGGUGAAAUUCUUGGAUCUGCUAAAGACGGACAACUGCGAAAGCGUUUGCCCAGGAUGUUUUCAUUGA
rnacentral:rRNA from 1 species